rnacentral:tRNA from 1 species
UCCCGGGUCGUCUAAUGGCAGGACAGCGGACUUUGAAUCCGUGAACAGAGGUUCGACUCCUCUCCCGGGAG